GCCUUCGUGGUAUGGUGGCCAGCACGCUCGACGCGUAACCGAGAGGUCCGUGGUUCGAUUCCCGGCGAAAGCG
rnacentral:tRNA from 1 species